UUUGGGCCCUCUUUGAUUUGAAGGAUUUUCAAAACGUUGGAAUAGGAAAAAUACAGGAUUUGAGUGGCAUGUCCACUUGAAUCCUAUAGGAUUAGCCUAGAGUGUUUGAUGCUACAUGAAAAACAAAGGAAUUAAAAAAAGAGGUUGGAGUGGAUGCUAGAUUUCCAAUGAAAUGUAGUACACUUGAUUCCAUAGGAAAAAAUCCUAUAGGAUUCAAUCUUGUGAAUCAAACUACAAAUGUAGGAAAAAAUCCUAAGGAUUCUAACCCUCCAGAAGUCCCAUGGAAUUCCUUUGAAUCAAAGGAGCCCUUGAAGUAUAUGUAUCUGACAAUUUUUUAAUUAAUGGAAUAAUAAAUGUUUGAUGUACCUGAUGUAUGGUUUCUUGUAUUUAUGUUUUGAAGAGAACUAUAUGUAUGUGACAAUUAGUACCAUAUUUUAAUUAAAGUUGUGGUUGGCUAAACAA
rnacentral:lncRNA from 1 species